GCAGGUGCUACUAAUUAAGGUUGCUAUCCUCUCUCUCUUUAUGUUAGCUCGUGGGCACGGUGGAGAGCUCGAGCUCGGGAGGUUUUUGUCGUCGACGUUGCGCCGCGGUGCCGUUCGAGCGUGCGUUCGUCGUCGUAGCAUUGUGAGGAGGCCGGGCGAAGGUGUGAUUUCGUCAUUCUCGACGCCGUGCCGGAAUUGGAGUCGCUGGUUGAGGAUCUUGUCGUCGACUAUUAGUAUUUCAGCUCGUAUGCGACGUAGGACCAUCGGAUUUCGACGAGAUUUGGUUCGUUGGAACCGGGACUUCGAGACGAAUCCAUAGGAUCCUUACUCGCCCGAUUUGGAGAAGCAUCGACCCGCCGUGUUUUACCUAGUUCUCUGUGUAGAAGUGUCGAAACGCGACGAAAUUUAACGUGCUAGAUUCACGACUUCAAGACGAAGAUUCUGAGCCCAAGAUCGCGAUUUUUGGAGCAGGUUCGAGCGUCGACGUUUCGUACUCUGGCCCGUUCUCUGCGUAGGAGCGUUGGAAUUCAGCGAAACCUGGGCCAUUGGAUUCGUGACUUCGAGACGAAGCUUCAGGACCCUUGUUUGCUGAAUUUGGAUAAGGUUAGCUUGAUCGGAUUUAACGCUUUCUUCGCUGCCAGGAGUUGCUUGAGAGGUGGGUUACAUCGGUUUUUACUCCUAA